rnacentral:lncRNA from 1 species
AAAAACAUUGACUUCCAAAAACAAAAGACGCAUGUUGGCAAGAAUGCAGAGAGAAGGGAACGCUUAUACACUGUUGGUGAACUGUCACCCCUACAACUCAGCUUGCAACCAGCCCUGGCCACCACCAGUUUCCCCACACUGAGCUGAAUAUUGGACAUGCCCAUCUUAGACAUUCCAGCCCAUUCUGAAAUUUCACAUCGAUUCACCCAACAAAGUCUGAAGUUCCAGGGCAAUUUAUCUGGAAAAGCUCACCUGGAAUCAUGUGUCAUUUCAACCAACAACUGUUGAAGAGGACGUGGCAUUAAAACCAAGGUUAUCAAUUAUUUAUAA